AUGUGUGGGGGUGGGUUUUUUUUAUAUGUAUGUUCCAUUUUGUUUUUCAGCCUCUCCACCUUGCUCCCUGCCCUCCUGUGGUACUACAGUGUGCUCAGCCUCUAACAAAGUACUGUUAGGAAAGGCUGAAAUCCCCCUUGUUCAGCACUGGAGUUAAGAUGGUUUCUGCCAGCCCGAGGAUCCCACCCUCUUCCAGAGAUACAGGACAUCGUGAAAAACUCUCUGUGCAGGGAAAGGUGUAACAUAUUGCCUGAACCAUCUGCAUUGCUGGUUGAUGAUGGCAUGUCAUGGACAAUACGGAUGGGAUAUGGAUAGUCUGUUUUACUGGUCCUGACCCUCUGCUCCGAGAGAAGGCCUAUAGAGCCACACAGAACCCCCCAGACCUCAUGGGACUCUGCACCAGCUGGAUUCUGCAGAUGUAUAUUUGCAGUAUUACAGUCAGCAACAGCACAAGCUUGGUAAGUAAAGUGCCCCACUCGUGUUCAUACGUGUUCUUUCAAAGUGAGAUUUCAGACAGGCAAGUGAAGAUAUACUUCAGUUUUAUUGUUGUUUAGGCAUGGAUAGAAACAUCAAUUCUUUUGCGCUCUU